AUUGAACGCUGGCGGCAGGCCUAACACAUGCAAGUCGAACGAGUGGCGGACGGGUGAGUAAUGCCUGGGAAACUGCCCGAUGGAGGGGGAUAACUACUGGAAACGGAAGCUAAUACCGCAUACCAUCGGAUGUGCCUAGAUGGGAUUAGCUAGGGUGUGGGGUAACGGCUCACCUAGGCGACGAUCCCUAGCUGGUCUGCGAGGAUGACCAGCCACACGUGAACUGAGACACGGGCCAGACUCCGACGGUAGGCAGCAGUGGGGAAUAUUUAACAAUGGGCGCAAGCCUGAUGCAGCCAUACCGCGUGUAUGAAGAAGGCCUUCGGGUGGUAAAGUACUUUCGGCGGGAAGGCGUUACCCGCAGAAGAAGCACCGGCUAACUCCGUGCCAGCAGCCGCGGUAAUUC
rnacentral:rRNA from 1 species